UAACCUGCCCAAGAGAUCGGGAUAACACCUGGAAACAGAUGCUAAUACCGGAUAACAACAGAUGAUGCCUAUCAACUGUUUAAAAGAUAGUUCUGCUAUCACUCUUGGAUGGACCUGCGGUGCAUUAGCUAGUUGGUAGGGUAACGGCCUACCAAGGCGAUGAUGCAUAGCCGAGUUGAGAGACUGAUCGGCCACAUUGGGACUGAGACACGGCCCAAACUCCUACGGGAGGCAGCAGCC
rnacentral:rRNA from 1 species